rnacentral:lncRNA from 1 species
UUGGCUAUAAUAAUAUAAAUACGCCUCAGUUUUUCUUGUGAUAUUCAGUUCGGCGUCAGCACUAACUCCACAGGAAACACUAUGGCAGCAACAGAUUGUGAGGUGCGACUUUCUUUGAGGUUAACCUGAUUUUUUUCAGUAGCUUUAUUUACAUGGCUAUACAACAUAUAAACCAGGUAGGGAACAAAAGAGGAAAAGAAACAAGAGAAACAACAGCGCUACCACUGCCCAUUUUACAUACAAAAGUUGUCUGUAUAUACCUGCCUGACCUGUAAGCUAAGAAUUUUCAUGACUUCAGAUAAGUUACCUUGCUAUCGCCUUAGAAGCAAAAUCAAAUGUGCAGUGGCUCUAAAUGCUGCUGCAUCUAACAUCAGAACAGUGUUAAAAAGUUUUUAUAAAAACUCAGUAAAAUGAAUGUGGAUGAGAAACAAAAUCCAAGCCUUUCCAUGUCAGUCAUCAAUGUCCUGGACCCAUUGCAAACCUGCUGAAGACAGCAUUUGAAUUGAGCUUAUGCGUGCAAAAAUAAAAAUGAGGAACGGAGGUUGAGCAUUAGCAGUACAUAUAUAGUAGAUACAUGGCAGCGUCAUACAAUUAAACCUCCCAACUCCCAAGUAGUGACAAUAAUCAACAAAAUCAAUUUUCUUAAGAAGCUACAAAUUGUCCCUGUUGGGUUCUGACACAACUAAUACUAGGUUAUGAGAGGAUCGCUGGGACAUCAGAAACAAACCUGUUAGUACUGACUCCACUGCUGAAUUUGGAAUCAGCAGUCCAAUGAUUCACUGACUGUCAUUUGUUGUGACUAAACGGGCAACACGUAUUCUCCUGUGAACCUGGCAUACAUGUUCAGUUACAGAAGGAAAAAGGGCCAAUUAAGCAACAUUCAGAGAGGGGUAGGUCAAUCACUCAAUCUGUAACUUUGUAAUAUUGUGAUAGGUCUCCUAGAAUUACCCUAUGUUUGGUUUUAAAAAAGGAAUACCCUAUGCUACUUAUUAUUGAGUUGCAUGCACCGACCAGUUCAACCCAAAAGCUUAAGCUGAUGGGGAGAGGUGGGCAAUUCCCUUAUAUUCCAACACUCCCCCUCACGUGGAGGCUUCGUCAGGCCUCAGACGUGGAAUAGGAGCGAGCAGCAAUUAUUUUAUUUAAUUACGCUAACCAGGAUUCGAACUCGAGACCUCUGGCUCUGAUACCAUAUUGAGUUGCAUACACCGACCAGUUCAACCCAAAAGCUUAAGCUGAUGGGGAGAGGUGGGCAAUUCACUUAUAUUCCAACACUUAUCUCAUGCAGGAUUAUUGUGGGGAAAGGCUAACUGAACGCACCACAUUAAAAAAAAUCCUCAAUCAUCAAAUCAUGAACGCAUAAUAGACUCGAAGCAUAGUUCAGACAGACAUACAGAAUAUACACCAACAUGUUACAUUGUUACAAACAUUAAGCAUCAUGCUUCAAAUAUUUCAAACUUACAAGGCAACCGACCAGCUGAUAAAUAGAGGAACUCAAUAACAUCAUCGAAUAGGAUUACCAAUUCAAUGCUCCUCUUUAGCUCCUCUUGCGGUCCCUGUUCUUCUGCCCAGAUCGCUUUGCUCCCCGAUGGUCAUGUAGCUCAUCCUCAUCGGACCCACUGCUUUCUGACCGGCGGUGCCUCCUCCGCCUGCUGGAUUGAUUCUUGUCAUCAGCAAAAUCACUGCCAUCAUUGUUACAGUCAGAUGCAUCCCUCCGGUGAUGGCUCCGCUUGCAGUGACGCCGAUGCCUCCUUUCUUCACCUCCAGACACAUCCUUCUCAUCCAAUGAGUCCUCGCUCCUGCGAUGGCUCCUCCUCCUCUUCCUGUGCCUCUGCCUAUCGGAGUCACUAUUGUCGCUGCUAUCCUCAUCUGAUCUUCCAUGCUUCUUCGAUCUGUUGGACCUCUUCUUCCUGUCCCUGCCUCUUCUGCCUUCCUCCUCUUCAUCCUCACUAUCAUCACUCCUUCUACUCCUUGUGUGCUUUGAUUUUCUCUUGGUGCUGCUGCUCCUAUGGCGGUGGCUUGACGACUUCUCUUCCUGCCUGGGUCUCCUUCCCCCAUUCCUGGCGCGCUCACGCUGUGCAAUUAUCCUCUCCAGCUCAGGGUCGAUGUCUGAAUCAGAGGAAUCACUGUCCUCGUCCUCCUCUUCCACAUCAUCAGAAGCCUCAUCUGCGUCACCACCGGCAGCAGCCUUCUUUUUUAUCUCGUCAAACUUGGCCUGCGCGGCUGCCUGGGCGUCGGCGUCGUCCAGGUCCAGGUCCUUGACGGAGAGGAAGUUGCGGCACUGGAAGGUGAGGUGGCCAACGCGGCCGCACUUCUUGCAGGCUCCGCGUGUCUCAUCGGAGUUGGAGCCGGUGAUGCGGGCGAGCGCGAGGAGGCCCUGGAAGCUGGUGUAGGCGUUGCCAUCGCCCGAGCCGGAUCCGGAAGCUGCUGCGGCGCUGGCGGCUGCGUUGGCGUCGUUGGCGGCUGCGGCGGCGGCGUUGGCGGAGACGGAGGAGGAGGGGCGGCCCGGCUGUUGCUUGUUGUUCUCGGGCGCGUAGGGGUCGUAUCCGAUGGCGCUCUGCCAGAUGCCGUGCGUCUGCAACGCCGCGCUGCUGUGCACGCGGUUGUUCGCGGGCAUGCGAACGCGCCCCGCCGUCGCCGGCAUCUUGGAUCGCCGCCGGUUAAGCUCGGGGGAGUGGGAGGGGUAGAGUUAGGGUUUGGUAGGAAGGGAGAAUACGGAUUGGGAUCUGGGAUUGAUUUCUCGGCUCGAUUGGGGAACGCACGCGUCGCCUGUUUGGCUCCCGCCACAGCCGCACAACGCCACAACUGUGGCCGGGACGCAUAGUCCGUCAGUUGCACAGUUGGCGAGCCCUCGCGCCGAAACUGAACCAGGGCCUCAAAAAUUCUAGUCAUAUUAAAUCUGGUAGCAUAUACAUAGAAUAUUAAAUAUAGAUGAAUAUAAAAACUAAUUAUACAGUUUGCUUUUAAAUUACGAGACGAAUCUUUUAAGCAUAAUUACUCUAUGGUUGGACAAUGUUUGUCAAAUAAAAACAAAAAUGCUAUAGUAUCAAAAUCCAAAAACUUUUUGGAUCUAACAAGGCCUAGCUUGGGAGCCCCCAAAUCUUUGAUGUGCGCAAACCUUGCGUCCUGAUCCAAACACAUUAUAAGACUAUCUUCAACAACAAUACCCAAAAUACAAAACUCAUCAAUGUUUAGGUAGUGCUAUAGGCAAAACGUUUAAUACCUAUUUAACAUCUUCUCCAACAACAAGAUCUAAAAGAGAUUCCUUUCUGCAAAUAGGUUUUCAGGAGAGAGGAUAUUUAUAUUUGGGUUAUGUCUCUCAGACAACCCAAAGUAGGUUUCUUGUAUAGGUACUCUGUUAAGUCUCCUGCUACCCAUUCUGGAUAAGGGUGUCCAUAUAGGUCUCUUACCCAAUCUGGAUAAGGGUGUCCAUAUAGGUCUCCUGUUGGAGACAGUGUAAAGACAAGAAAGAGCUUCUGCCCUCUAAAAUCAUCGCAUGUGGACUGUGGAAAUAUGAGUCAGGCUGGGCAUUUUUGAACCGUAAGCCGAAAACCGAACCGAACCGAGCCGAACCGAACCGAAAUAUUAGUUUUCUCGGUUUUCGGUUUCGGUUUCGGUUUCUACAGCUGGGAAGUUCGGGUGUCGGCUUCGGCUUCGGUUUCCGAGUGCAGCCGAACCGAUAAGCCGAACAACCCGAUUAAGUAUGCUAGUGAACGCCGAAGUACCGAACUACAGACACUAGCAAAGCACCAAAACGAGCAGUCAGCUCCUAGCGCCCAACCAAGUGCCACCAGGCCCACCACUCAUGCAUAGCAGCCCAAUCCAUGAUAGCCCACCGAUCUGGUCUCCAGAAGUCCACAUAACAAAAGAGCAUAGCAGAGCCCCCAGUCAUAUGCUCGCAUCAAAGUUGGAGCGGUGCCUCGCUGGACAAGCGAAUCGGCGGUGGCGGCGGCAUCAGGCGGCAGCAGCGCGCUGGGCAGGUGAAUCUGUGGCGGCGCGGCGCGAGCAGGAACCUGGAGGCGAGACUAGAGUGGCUCGACACUAGUACUGUACCACCUGGGAGGCAACAGCGACCCGGCCGCGUGAAGCUCACGGAGGACCUGCGAUGCGAUGACAUGGUCUCGAGCGGAGUAGGAGGCCAUGGCCAUCAGAGCUGCGGUGCGAGCGCGAGCGCCGAGCAGGUGUCAUAUGGCUGCAUGCAGCGGCAUUCUCCUCUAUUCUUCUUUCUAAUUUUUUCUUGUCUGCUAGCUUCGGAUGGAACCGAAUAACCGAGCCGACGAAACCGAAACCGAACUGAUCGGUUUCUUGUUUUAUAGCAAACCGAUCGGGUGAUGAUGUCUGGAAACCGAAGUUUCUAGCAACCGAGGAAACCGAACCGAUUUGUCGGUUGAAACCGAAUGCCCACUCCGAAAUAUGAGUCAAUAAUUUCAUAUUUGCCCUGUUCACUUCACUAAAAUUUAGCUUAUGCUAAUUUGUUAUAAGAGAAAAAAAAUACUAUUUCUCUGCCCUCUGAAAUCGUCACGUGUGGACUGUGGAAAGAGGAGUCAAUAAUUUCAGAUUUGCCCUGUUCACUUCACUAAAAUUUAGCUUAUGCUACUGUUUAUGUUGAUUUGUUGUAACUUGUAGGAGAAAAAAUACUUUCGUUUGCUGAAAAGUACUGCCAAAGAAGAGGGCAGGAACGUGCUUCCUCUGUGAAGUCUCGUCUCAUUUUUUUUUCAAGCCGAUUCCCCAUCCCCACUGGGCGCGUGAGCACCAUUGUCCAGGCAGCGCGUGGCCCAGUCACCUCCAUUCAAAAUUAUAAGACGUUUAGGGUAUACGGUGCCUUUUAUGAUUAUUAUAAGCUGACCGUAAGACACUGGAUAUCAUUUGUUUUGCUUCGGCACAGCAGCUUGUAUCAAUAUGGAAGUUAUAUCUUUAGAGUUCGACUUUAAGAAACAACCAAAGAUUAGUCGAGCUGCGAUUUAUUUCUCCUCUCUCGCUGAUCUUUUCUUUUUUUAGUUUUCCUUGUAUACAUCGUUGUUAUGAUUGAGUAUUCCUAUCUAGGAUAUUUGUGAGUGUCGUGCUUGUAGUCCUAGUCUCCUAGUCGUAGUGGCCGCCGUCCAACUACACCGAGUAGUAGUAGUAGGCGAGUGCGUUGUUUGAUUGACCGGAAGUGGUGCAGGCGUGAGUGUUGACACAUCACCCGGAGAAUCCAACAUCGGAUAAUGAUGUGCUAGCUUAGGUUGGAUAAGAUUUUACUUUUUGUUAGCUGCAACCGCAACUCGUGGCUUGCGAUUUCUGGAGAUCUCUCCCCACGAUUGGUCGCAAUUUUCAAACCAUUUCCCUAUCCUUUCGACAAGAACAACUCGGAAGCUUCUGGCACGAAGUUCUCUUCUAUCUCAAACGAUUGUGUAUUUGUGUGCGUCAUCAGAGAACCAACGUCUCACAAAGACUUUAGACUUUCGUGCAUCCUAUAGAAACUCCCCGAAUGCAUAGCCAUCAUGCUGUACGCCUUCACCAUGGUGCAUCAUCAUCAUCAAUAGUCAACAAACAAAAUAUAAUACACAUCUUGUCAGUUGACACUGGUAAUAAAGUUUUGCACGUACAUGAUUUGAUCAUAAUACAAAUGCGCCCCAGUUUUUCUUGUCUGUUCAGUUCGGCAUCAGCAGUAACUCCACAGGAAACACUAUGGCAGCACCAGAUUGAGGUGCGACUUCCUUUGAGUUUAACCUGAGCUUUUUUAGCAGCUUUACAUGGCUAUACAACAUAUAAACCAGAACACCAGGUAGAGAACAGAGGAAAAGAAAGAAGAGACAACAGCGGUAUCACACCGCAUAUUUUACAUACACAAGUUGUCUGUAUAUACCUAC